rnacentral:tRNA from 1 species
GUUCUCAUAGCUCAGUGGAUAGAGCGACAGCCUCCUAAGCUGUAGGUCGAGGGUUCGAUUCCCUCUGUGAACACCA